CCUACGGUAGGCAGCAGUGGGGAAUAUUGGACAAUGGGCGAAAGCCUGAUCCAGCCAUGCCGCGUGUGUGAAGAAGGCCUUCGGGUUGUAAAGCACUUUCAGUGGGGAAGAAAGCCUUGGGGCUAAUACCCUCGAGGAAGGACAUCACCCACAGAAGAAGCACCGGCUAACUCCGUGCCAGCAGCCGCGGUAAUACGGAGGGUGCGAGCGUUAAUCGGAAUUACUGGGCGUAAAGCGCGCGUAGGCGGUCUGAUAAGCCGGUUGUGAAAGCCCCGGGCUCAACCUGGGAACGGCAUCCGGAACUGUCAGGCUAGAGUGCAGGAGAGGAAGGUAGAAUUCCCGGUGUAGCGGUGAAAUGCGUAGAGAUCGGGAGGAAUACCAGUGGCGAAGGCGGCCUUCUGGACUGACACUGACGCUGAGGUGCGAAAGCGUGGGUAGCAAACAGGAUUAGAUACCCCGGUAGUC
rnacentral:rRNA from 1 species